GGGGUGGAUUAGUGGCGAACGGGUGAGUAACACGUGGGCAAUCUGCCCUUCACUCUGGGACAAGCCCUGGAAACGGGGUCUAAUACCGGAUACCACUCUCUUCCGCAUGGGAGGGGGUUGAAAGCUCCGGCGGUGAAGGAUGAGCCCGCGGCCUAUCAGCUUGUUGGUGGGGUGAUGGCCUACCAAGGCGACGACGGGUAGCCGGCCUGAGAGGGCGACCGGCCACACUGGGACUGAGACACGGCCCAGACUCCUACGGGAGGCAGCAGUGGGGAAUAUUGCACAAUGGGCGAAAGCCUGAUGCAGCGACGCCGCGUGAGGGAUGACGGCCUUCGGGUUGUAAACCUCUUUCAGCAGGGAAGAAGCGAAAGUGACGGUACCUGCAGAAGAAGCGCCGGCUAACUACGUGCCAGCAGCCGCGGUAAUACGUAGGGCGCAAGCGUUGUCCGGAAUUAUUGGGCGUAAAGAGCUCGUAGGCGGCUUGUCACGUCGGAUGUGAAAGCCCGGGGCUUAACCCCGGGUCUGCAUUCGAUACGGGCAGGCUAGAGUGUGGUAGGGGAGAUCGGAAUUCCUGGUGUAGCGGUGAAAUGCGCAGAUAUCAGGAGGAACACCGGUGGCGAAGGCGGAUCUCUGGGCCAUUACUGACGCUG
rnacentral:rRNA from 1 species